GUGCAUGUUUGGUAAUUAUUAAGCGUAUAAAUGCAUACCUACGCACCUAUUACAGUUAUUUUACGUACAUAAAUGUCCGAACCCUAAUUAUUAUAAAUAAAUAAAUAAAUUGCACGCGAAAACACUACGUCGUAAUAACGACUGAGAUAUUAUACGUUCGAAAUAAUUAUUAGACGAAUUUCCGGUCGUUUGUAAAUAAUUU